GUUUGUCUUCGGGGCAGGGUGUAAUUCCCGACCGGCGGUAAUAGUCCGUGACCUAUCUCUGAUAGUUGAUUUGGUGUAAUUCCAAAACCGACAGUAUAGUCUGGUAUAAAGAAGAUUUUA
rnacentral:ncRNA from 2 species